GUUUAUCAUCUUCUUCGUCUUCAUCUUUUCAUGAAAUCUCUUCCUCUCUCAUCUCAUGGGUGUCGGUUUCACUGAUUGUUGGAGAAAUAGAAGCUGUUGAUUGAAACUAAAGAUCUAGGGUUUUGAAUAGGUGGAGAAUUGAGAGGUUUGUGAUGAGAAUGAGGGGAUGAAAUUAGGGUUUAGAGAGUACACGAGAAACCAUCCACACACUCAUCCUUCAGGACAAAAGCUGGUAAGAAGCAAAUAUCAGAAGACGCUGGUGGCAAAAUUGCACGUUCUGCAGGAGCUUCAAUGAGCACUUAACCCACAAGUUGAUGGUAACUUUAACUCACAUGCAACACGAAAACCACAAGGUGAUGGUAUUGUGAAAAAAUGUGCUGGUUUGCCUUUGAGAACGAAAACAGAUGGAGAAGAUUGGGCUAAUGAAUGCCGACGUUGCUCAUAAGGAGGCCUCUGAAGGGAACUUAUACCCAUGGCAUGCUAAAGGAUCUUCAAGACCAGUAUUGAGAAAGAUUUUAGCAGUGUAACAUACAGCAAAAUGGAGUAAACGGUCACAUAUGUUCACUGAAUCAGCAUUUUAAUAACAAUCAAAGUCUUAAGUGUAAGUUUUUUUAAGUUAACAACAUUUGACCACCCAUAAGUGGAGGACUUAGAUUUAGUAACCGACUUGACCCGUACACAACCCUAACAUCAGUGGGUGUUGGGUUUGAUUUUGAUGUUACAGGUCAUGUACGGGUCAAGUUGGUUACCGGUUUUGUUUAAAUGGGUCACGGAAUAGAAAACGGGUCAUGGGUUCGUAGGUAAAUGAGUUUAUAGAUCUGUAACGCUAGUAUGUAGAUCUCAACUGUUUUAUUAUGCUCUAAUAAUUCUUAUUGAUUCGUAUUGAAUGAAAGUUUUCGGUUUAGUCCUGUUAAA